GCAUGCCUUACACAUGCAAGUCGAACGGUAACAGGUCUUCGGAUGCUGACGAGUGGCGAACGGGUGAGUAAUACAUCGGAACGUGCCCGAUCGUGGGGGAUAACGAAGCGAAAGCUUUGCUAAUACCGCAUACGAUCUACGGAUGAAAGCAGGGGACCGCAAGGCCUUGCGCGAACGGAGCGGCCGAUGGCAGAUUAGGUAGUUGGUGGGAUAAAAGCUUACCAAGCCGACGAUCUGUAGCUGGUCUGAGAGGACGACCAGCCACACUGGGACUGAGACACGGCCCAGACUCCUACGGGAGGCAGCAGUGGGGAAUUUUGGACAAUGGGCGAAAGCCUGAUCCAGCCAUGCCGCGUGCAGGAUGAAGGCCUUCGGGUUGUAAACUGCUUUUGUACGGAACGAAAAGACUCUGGUUAAUACCUGGGGUCCAUGACGGUACCGUAAGAAUAAGCACCGGCUAACUACGUGCCAGCAGCCGCGGUAAUACGUAGGGUGCAAGCGUUAAUCGGAAUUACUGGGCGUAAAGCGUGCGCAGGCGGUUAUAUAAGACAGAUGUGAAAUCCCCGGGCUCAACCUGGGAACUGCAUUUGUGACUGUAUAGCUAGAGUACGGCAGAGGGGGAUGGAAUUCCGCGUGUAGCAGUGAAAUGCGUAGAUAUGCGGAGGAACACCGAUGGCGAAGCAAUCCCCUGGGCCUGUACUGACGCUCAUGCACGAAAGCGUGGGGAGCAAACAGGAUAGAUACCCUGGUAGUCCACGCCCUAACGAUGUC
rnacentral:rRNA from 1 species